CUUAGUGGCGGACGGGUGAGUAACGCGUGGGGAACCUGCCCCGUACAGGGGGAUAACACUUAGAAAUAGGUGCUAAUACCGCAUAAGCGCACAGUAUCGCAUGAUACAGUGUGAAAAACUCCGGUGGUACAGGAUGGACCCGCGUCUGAUUAGCUGGUUGGCGGGGUAACGGCCCACCAAGGCGACGAUCAGUAGCCGGCCUGAGAGGGUGAACGGCCACAUUGGGACUGAGACACGGCCCAAACUCCUACGGAAGGCAGCAG
rnacentral:rRNA from 1 species